rnacentral:misc_RNA from 1 species
GGAAGAAAAAAAUGUUAUGGAGUAAGAGGAAUUAAGUUAAAUUCAAGAAAAUUUUCAGUUCAAAGAUUACAAGUGAAGUUCUUGAAUUUUUUCAAGAUUUUGAGAAAAUCAAUUUGUGGGAAUUUGUUAAUUUUGUUGAAGAAGAAUUUUAGUGGAAGAAAACAAAGAGAUGAGAAGAAUUUGGUGAAGAAAAAAGUUGAUU